UACGUAGGAUCCAAGCGUUGUCCGGAUUUACUGGGUGUAAAGGGUGCGCAGGCGGGCUGGUAAGUCAGUAGUGAAAUCUCGGCGCUCAACGCCGAAACGUCUUUUGAUACUACCAGUCUUAAAUAAGCGAGAGAUCCGUGGAAUUCCGAGUGUAGCAGUGAAAUGUGUAGAUAUUCGGAAGAACACCAGCGGCGAAGGCAGCGGGUUGGCGCUUUAUUGACGCUCAGGCACGAAAGCAUGGGGAUCAAACAGG
rnacentral:rRNA from 1 species